rnacentral:rRNA from 1 species
CACGGAGGAUGCGAGCGUUAUCCGGAUUUAUUGGGUUUAAAGGGUGCGUAGGCGGAGUGCCAAGUCAGCGGUAAAAAUUCGGGGCUCAACCCCGUCGUGCCGUUGAAACUGGCGCCCUUGAGUGGGCGAGAAGUAUGCGGAAUGCGUGGUGUAGCGGUGAAAUGCAUAGAUAUCACGCAGAACCCCGAUUGCGAAGGCAGCAUACCGGCGCCCGACUGACGCUGAAGCACGAAAGCGUGGGUAUCGAACAGG